rnacentral:rRNA from 1 species
GUGUGUUUUGUUACGGGCGUAUGGUGGAUGCCUUGGCAUGCUGAGCCGAUGAAGGACGUGUGAGGCUGCGUUAUGCCUCGGGGAGUUGCCAACAAAGCGUUGAUCCGAGGAUGUCCGAAUGGGGAAACCCAGCACCGGUUGUGUGGUGUUACCCGCAGGUGAAUUCAUAGUCUGUGUGGGGGUUGACGCGGGGAAGUGAAACAUCUCAGUACCCGUAGGAGAAGAAAACAAUUUGUGAUUCCGUGUGUAGUGGCGAGCGAUAGCGGAUGAGGCUAAACCGUGUGCGUGURAGACCUGGCAGGGGUUGCGUGUGCGGUGUUGUGGGGUGUGUGCGUGUGCAGGCUGCCACCUGCAGGCAUGAUUCGCGCGUGUCAGUGGAAGCAUCUGGGAUGGUGCGCCGGAGAGGGUGAUGAGUCCCGUACGUGAAGGCAUGUGUGGUUGUGUGGUGCAUGUCCCCGAGUAGCAGCGGGCUCGUGGAAUCUGCUGUGAAUCUGCCGGGACCACCCGGUAAGCCUAAAUACUCAGUGUGACCGAUAGUGGAUUUAAGUACCGUGAGGGAAUGGUGAAAAGUACCCCGGGAGGGGAGUGAAAGAGUUCCUGAAACCAUGCGCUUACAAUCCGUCAGAGCACCGUUWWGUGUGUGAUGGCGUGCCUUUUGAAGAAUGAGCCUGCGAGUCAGCGGCAUGUCGCGAGGUUAACCCGUUUGUGGGGUAGUCGUAGCGAAAGCGAAUCCGAAUAGGGUGUUUUUAGUGGCAUGUCCUGGACCCGAAGCGGGGUGAUCUACCCAUGGCCAGUGUGAAGCAGCUGUAAGAGGUUGUGGAGGCGCGAACCCACUUAGGUUGAAAACUGAGGGGAUGAGCUGUGGGUAGGGGUGAAAGGCCAAUCAAACUCCGUGAUAGCUGGUUCUCCCCGAAAUGCAUUUAGGUGCAGCGUGAUGUGAGCUUGCCGGAGGUAGAGCUACUGGUUGGUUGAGCGGGACUAUCAUCUUAGCGACGUCAGCCAAACUCCGAAUGCCGGUGAAGUGGUGCAUUGCAGUGAGACUGUGGGGGAUAAGCUUCAUAGUCGAGAGGGAAACAGCCCAGAUCGCCGGUUAAGGCCCCUAAGGGUGUGCUAAGUGGAAAAGGAUGUGGGAUCGCGAAGACAGCCAGGAGGUUGGCUUAGAAGCAGCCAUCCUUGAAAGAGUGCGUAAUAGCUCACUGGUCGAGUGGUUUCGCGCCGACAAUGUAGUGGGGCUCAAGCACACCGCCGAAGCCGCGGCAAGCCUUUUUGGCUUGGGUAGGGGAGCGUCGUGUGUGGGGUGAAGCCGUACUGUAAGGAGCGGUGGACUGCAUGCGAGUGAGAAUGCAGGCAUGAGUAACGAAUGGCAAGUGAGAAUCUUGCCCGCCGGAUGACUAAGGGUUCCUGGGUCAAGUUCGUCUUCCCAGGGUGAGUCGGGUCCUAAGGCGAGGCCGACAGGCGUAGUCGAUGGUUAACGGGUUGAUAUUCCCGUACCCGUAUAUGCGCGCCCAGUAUCGAAGCGGUGAUACUAACCACCCUGAUCUGCUGACGUUGAUCACUCUUUGAGUGGUUGGUUGGUGGUGAUGCGUGGGGCCUGAUCCGUUGUAGGUCAGUGAUGGGGUGACGCAGUGAGGUAGCCGAGCCGCUUAUUGGAUUGCGGUGCAAGCGUGUGGCACGACAACAUUGGUCAAAUCCGGUUGUCWUKUGUGUGAGGCGUGAUGCGUAGCCCUUKKGUGGGUGAUGUUGGUGAUCCUGUACUGCCGAGAAAAGCCUCUAGCGAUGUGUGUGUACGGCCCGUACCCAUAACCGACACAGGUGGUCAGGUAGAAAAUACUAAGGCGAGCGGGUGAACUGUGGUUAAGGAACUCGGCAAAAUGCCCCCGUAACUUCGGGAGAAGGGGGACCCAUGCUGGUCAAGCAUGUUUCGUGUGGUAGCUGGUGUGGGUCGCAGAGAAGAGAGGGGAGCGACUGUUUAUCAAAAACACAGGUCCGUGCGAAGACGGUUAAGUUGAUGUAUACGGACUGACGCCUGCCCGGUGCUGGAAGGUUAAGAGGACCUGUUAGGGCUUUUUGGUCCGAAGCGGAGAAUUUAAGCCCCAGUAAACGGCGGUGGUAACUAUAACCAUCCUAAGGUAGCGAAAUUCCUUGUCGGGUAAGUUCCGACCUGCACGAAUGGCGUAACGACUCCCCUGCUGUCUCAACCACAGGCCCGGUGAAAUUGCAGUACGAGUAAAGAUGCUCGUUUCGCGCGGCAGGACGAAAAGACCCCGGGACCUUCACUAUAGCUUGGUAUUGGCAUUCGGUGCGGUUUGUGUAGGAUAGGUGGGAGACUUWGAAGCRUGCACGCUAGUGUGUGUGGAGUCGUUGUUGAAAUACCACUCUGACCGUAGUGGAUAUCUAACCUUGGCCCAUGAUCUGGGUUGGGGACAGUGCCUGGUGGGUAGUUUAACUGGGGCGGUUGCCUCCCAAAAUGUAACGGAGGCGCCCAAAGGUUCCCUCAGCCUGGUUGGCAAUCAGGUGGGUAGAGUGUAAGUGCACAAGGGAGCUUGACUGCGAGACGCACUUGUCGAGCAGGGACGAAAGUCGGGACUAGUGAUCCGGCACCUACUUGUGGAUGUGGUGUCGCUCAACGGAUAAAAGGUACCCCGGGGAUAACAGGCUGAUCUUCCCCAAGAGUCCAUAUCGACGGGAUGGUUUGGCACCUCGAUGUCGGCUCGUCGCAUCCUGGGGCUGGAGUAGGUCCCAAGGGUUGGGCUGUUCGCCCAUUAAAGCGGCACGCGAGCUGGGUUCAGAACGUCGUGAGACAGUUCGGUCUCUAUCCGCCGCGCGCGUUGAAACUUGAAGAAGGCUGUCCCUAGUACGAGAGGACCGGGACGGACGUACCUCUAGUGUGCCAGUUGUUCCGCCAGGGGCAUGGCUGGUUGGCUACGUACGGGAGGGAUAACCGCUGAAAGCAUCUAAGCGGGAAGCCUGUUUUGAGAUGAGGUUUCGUUUGAGGUUCCCAGGAGACGACUGGGUUGAUAGGCCGGAUCUGGAAGCGUAGUAAUGCGUGGAGGUGACUGGUACUAAUUAGCCGAUAAACACCAACACACAAGGGUUGU